rnacentral:lncRNA from 10 species
CAAAGGUAUUCCAAAUCCUGACUCUCCCGCCCAUUGGCUUUCUCACUGACUGUCAUCAGCUGCUCAGGAGCCAGGGAAGAGGGAGUGGGAUGCCUGGAAGAAGUAGCCGAGCAGUGGAAGGAAUCCUGGCCUCAAAGUGAGAUAUCUAGAGCUGGCUGUCCAUUUUGCUAUUUACAGGAUGAAGCCCCAACUCUGUUCACGUGACAUGCAAGGGCCUUCACAAUCCGGGCUUUCUCACCUCAUUUCCAUUUGGUUGGCCAGAAAAACUUCUGCUACACACUGUGGCUUGCUCUGGUACCUGGCAGACGAACUAGCUCAGCCUUGCCACACUUCCCACCAGCUAUGCACGAGGGUGUCUGGAGGCAAAAGCCCGAGAGAGCAGAGGUGGAGACGGCUGAGCACUGUGCUAAGGUCUGGCGGGCACCAACCAAAAGUUCCAGAUGGUGACCAGGAGAGGGCGCCAGGGCCCCA